GACGAACGCUGGCGGCGUGCUUAACACAUGCAAGUCGAACGGUGAAGGGGUCUGCUUUUGUGGGCCCUGGAUGAGUGGCGAACGGGUGAGUAACACGUGAGUAACCUGCCCCCUUCUUCUGGAUAACCGCAUGAAAGUGUGGCUAAUACGGGAUAUUCUGGGUCUGUCGCAUGAUGGGUCUGGGAAAGAUUGCGCCUUUGGGUGUUUUUGGUGGGGGAUGGGCUCGCGGCCUAUCAGCUUGUUGGUGGGGUGAUGGCCUACCAAGGCGGUGACGGGUAGCCGGCCUGAGAGGGUGGACGGUCACACUGGGACUGAGACACGGCCCAGACUCCUACGGGAGGCAGCAGUGGGGAAUAUUGCACAAUGGGCGCAAGCCUGAUGCAGCGACGCCGCGUGAGGGAUGGAGGCCUUCGGGUUGUAAACCUCCUUCGCCAGUGAAGCAGGCCUGCUCCGUGUGGGUGGGUUGACGGUAGCUGGAGAAGAAGCGCCGGCUAACUACGUG
rnacentral:rRNA from 1 species